rnacentral:tRNA from 1 species
GCCUGGAUGGCUCAGUUGAGCAUCUGACUUCAGCUCAGAUCAUGAUCUCACGGGUGGUGAGUUCGAGCCCCACAUUGGGCU